GUGUUCACUUCAGUAGUACCUUUACUACAGUUGGAAUGAUACAGAUUAGAUAAACAUGGCCCCUGUUCAGGGAUAACAAACGACUACCUGAAAUAUUCCAUAUUUUA